rnacentral:rRNA from 1 species
CAAUAGCGUAUAUUAAAGUUGUUGCAGUUAAAAAGCUCGUAGUUGGAUUUGUGGCUUUCGUUUGAUGCGCGGCACAAUGUGCUGUCGUUUUCGGACGUUGCCAUCCUUGGGUGGAUCCUGUGUGGCAUUAGGUUGUCGUGCAGGGGAUGCCCAUCUUUUACUGUGAGAAAAUUAGAGUGUUCAAAGCAGGCUUAUGCCGUUGAAUAUAUUAGCAUGGAAUAAUAAGAUAGGACCUUGGUACUAUUUUGUUGGUUUGCGCACCAAGGUAAUGAUUAAUAGGGUCAGUUGGGGGUAUUCGUAUUCCAUUGUCAGAGGUGAAAUUCUUGGAUUUUUGGAAGACGAACUACUGCGAAAGCAUUUACCAAGGAUGUUUUCAUUAA